rnacentral:sRNA from 1 species
AUAAAAAAUCGCUGUUCUAAAGACAGCAGGUGCGUUUUGCAUAAGUAUUUUACGCCUGCCGAGGAAGAAGCUAAAAAUUACUUUGUAAUUAUUACUGCCUCUCCUCGGGAAACCAAGGAGAGGUUUUCUUUUG